UACGGAGGAUGCAAGCGUUAUCCGGAUUCAUUGGGUUUAAAGGGUGCGCAGGCGGAAUGAUAAGUCAGUGGUGAAAUCCUACAGCUUAACUGUAGAAUUGCCAUUGAUACUGUCGUUCUUGAGUACACUUGAAGUGGGCGGAAUGUGUCAUGUAGCGGUGAAAUGUUUAGAUAUGACAAGGAACACCGAUCGCGAAGGCAGCUCACUAAAGUGCAACUGACGCUCAGGCACGAAAGCGUGGGGAUCAAACAGG
rnacentral:rRNA from 1 species